rnacentral:rRNA from 1 species
ACUUAAAUUGAAGAGUUUGAUCAUGGCUCAGAUUGAACGCUGGCGGCAGGCCUAACACAUGCAAGUCGAGCGGAAACGGCAGUAUUGAAGCUUCGGUGGAUUUACUGGACGUCGAGCGGCGGACGGGUGAGUAACGGCUGGGAACC